rnacentral:rRNA from 1 species
UGCCAGCCGCCGCGGUAACACGGGGGGCGCAAGCGUUAUUCGGAAUUAUUGGGCGUAAAGCGCACGUAGGCGGACUGAUUAGUUGGGGGUGAAAUCCCAGGGCUCAACCCUGGAACUGCCUUCAAUACUGUCAGUCUUGAGUCCGAGAGAGGUGAGUGGAAUUCCUAGUGUAGAGGUGAAAUUCGUAGAUAUUAGGAAGAACACCAGUGGCGAAGGCGGCUCACUGGUUCGGUACUGACGCUGAGGUGCGAAGGCGUGGGUAGCGAACGGGAUUAGAUA